rnacentral:rRNA from 1 species
UACAGAGGUCUCAAGCGUUGUUCGGAUUCAUUGGGCGUAAAGGGUGCGUAGGCGGCGCGGUAAGUCGGGUGUGAAAUCUCGGAGCUUAACUCCGAAACUGCAUUCGAUACUGCCGUGCUUGAGGACUGGAGAGGAGACUGGAAUUUACGGUGUAGCGGUGAAAUGCGUAGAUAUCCGGAGGAACACCAGUGGCGAAGGCGACUUUCUGGCCUGUUCUUGACGCUGAGGCGCGAAAGCUAGGGGAGCGAACAGG